rnacentral:lncRNA from 1 species
CUGGUGUUAUAGACUUGGAUUUAUAUUAGACAUGCUGUUUUAUUAUGUCUCAUGAACUUAUGUGAUUAUUGUGAUUAUUGUGAUUGAUAAACUAUACUGAAUGCUGAUUUAAUAAACAUUAUAUAUUGAACUUUGAAUCUGUGUUACGUUGACAUGUAUUCAUAUGAAAGCUACCAGCUAGUUCCCCCAACCUAGCAAGAUGAGUAACCAGGUCAGGAACGAGCAUAGUACUGGCCUUGGUUAUACGUGGCGGAGUGACCCAGCUUUCCGGUACUGAGGAGGGAUACAUGUAGGAUGCAAACCUGAAUACCAAGACAAGAGUCAGCAUAUCUCCAUAUAGGAAACAGUGAAUUUUCCUGAGUGUGCAGAGGUGAGUCAACCUUUUAUUUAUGAUCUUAUAUGACACCAAAUCUUUAAAUUUUACUUUAUUUUGUAAUUAAAGUUGUCAAGAUCUUUUAAUAGGAUUUUCCCUCUAAAAAGACUCAACAUGUCUAAUUCAGUUUAUCCUGACCCCUCCUUAGCUCUAAUAGCCCCCCUU